rnacentral:rRNA from 1 species
AUUGAACGCUGGCGGCAGGCCUAACACAUGCAAGUCGAACGAGUGGCGGACGGGUGAGUACUGUCUGGGAAACUGCCCGAUGGAGGGGGAUAACUACUGGAAACGGUAGCUAAUACCGCAUACCAUCAGAUGUGCCCAGGUGGGAUUGGCCUGUUGGUGGGGUAACGGCUCACAAAGGCGACGAUCCCUAGCUGGUCUGCGAGGAUGACCAGACACACUGGAACUGUGACACGGUCCAGACGCUUACGGAAGGCAGCAGUGGGGAAGAUUGCACAAUGGGCGCCAGCCUGAUGCAGCCAUGCCGAGUGUAUGAAGAAGGCCUUCGGGUUGUAAAGUACUUUCAGCGGGGAGGCGUUACCCGCAGAAGAAGCACCGGCUAACUCCGUGCCAGCAGCCGCGGUAAUAC